GCUGGCUUAGAUCAAUGGUAGAUCGUCUCCCUCCUACUUCUGCAUCUGAAAAUGAUGAUCGGCGGUUGAGGAGAAGGCUGCGGGUUCGAGUCCCGUGGUCAGUG
rnacentral:tRNA from 2 species